ACUCAGCUGACGAGUCCCACGCAGGGACGAAACCCGAGUCCUAAAU
rnacentral:hammerhead_ribozyme from 1 species